ACGGAGGGUGCAAGCGUUGUUCGGAUUGACUGGGCGUAAAGGGCGUGUAGGCGGUUCGUUAAGUCGGGUGUGAAAGCCCGGGGCUCAGCUCCGGAAGUGCGCCCGAAACUGGCGAGCUGGAGCGCGGUAGAGGAGGGUGGAAUUCCUGGUGUAGCGGUGAAAUGCGUAGAUAUCAGGAGGAACACCGGCGGCGAAGGCGGCCCUCUGGACCGUUGCUGACGCUGAGACGCGAAAGCGUGGGGAGCAAACAGGAUUAGAUACCCUGGUAGUCCACGCUGUAAACGAUGGGUACUAGGUGUUCGGGGUGUUGACCCCCUGAGUGCCGACGCUAACGCAUUAAGUACCCCGCCUGGGGACUACGGCCGCAAGGUUA
rnacentral:rRNA from 1 species